rnacentral:rRNA from 1 species
UACGUAGGGGGCAAGCGUUGUCCGGAAUCAUUGGGCGUAAAGCGCGCGUAGGCGGCCAGAUAAGUCCGGUGUGAAAGUCACAGGCUCAACCUGUGAAUGCCGCUGGAAACUGUCUGGCUUGAGUCCGGAAGGGGCGAGUGGAAUUCCCAGUGUAGAGGUGAAAUUCGUAGAUAUUGGGAAGAACACCGGUGGCGAAGGCGGCCAUCUGGACCGCAACUGACGCUGAGGCGCGGAAAGCGUGGGGAUCAAACAGGG